GGCCACACACAUUGAAACAUUGGUUCCCAUAUGAUCACCAAAGUUAAGCCUGAUCAGUACUUAGAUAGGUGACCGCUUGGGAAUAACAGGUGUUGUAA